CACUGUUUCCAUUGUUUCCCCAUCUAUUUCCCAUGAAGUGAUGGGACCGGAUGCCAUGAUUUUCGUUUUCUGAAUGUUGAGCUUUAGGCCAACUUUUUCACUCUCCUCUUUCACUUUCAUCAAGAGGCUUUUGAGUUCCUCUUCACUUUCUGCCAUAAGGGUGGUGUCAUCUGCAUAUCUGAGGUUAUUGAUAUUUCUCCCAGCAAUCUUGACUUUAGCUUGUGCUUCCUCCAGCCCAGUGUUUCUCAUGAUGUACUCUGCAUAUAAGUUAAAUAAGCAUAUAUAUAUAUACAUAUACAUACAUACAUAUAUAUAUAUGUGUGUGUGUGUGUAUAUAUAUAUAUAUAUAUAUAUAUAUAUAUAUAUGAACAUAGCAACCAUGGGAGAGUUUCCAAGUACAAUAAAUGCAUCAGCCGUACACCUCACUCCUCCUCACUCCUCCUCACUUCCCUGUCACUGUAGGGCAGGGGGUUCGGUAUUUGCCUCUCUCCCCUCUCCCGCCCUGGGCCAGGCUCCCGGGCAUCCUUCCGCCUCCCACCUCAAACUGGCUGCAAACAGUGAACAGCUCAGAAGGAAAGGGCUUGACAGGGGCCAAUGGGAGCAGGCACUCCCCAGCGUCCUCCCUCUGGCUCCGGUCUGCGGGGCCCACUCUUGGCUCUCUGCCCAGUGGGGAGGAGACACAGAGGGCUAAGUGUCUUCUCCCAUGCUCCUGGCUGACACACAGGCAUGGUCCCCGAGAAAAGACGGGGAUGGCAGGGACAGGCCCUGGAGCCUCAGGCUGCCCCGGGUCCUCCAACAUGGCUGAAGAGGAUGGAUCCCAAAUUCCCUCAUGGACAGUGUACACCCAAAAUGCCUUUGGGAGGAAGGGCAGGAUGCUGGAGGCCCAGAAGGAGGAAAAGUGGGAGGAAGGAAAGGUGGGAUGCCACCUGGUCAGCACCUCUGACAUCAGGGAACUCUCGGGGUGGGGUGGGUGGGGAGAGAGAGGGGAGGAACAGUCCAACUGGCAGGAGACUGACUCCCCAGGUUGA
rnacentral:lncRNA from 1 species